rnacentral:rRNA from 1 species
GCAUAUCAAUAAGCGGAGGAAAAGAAACUAACAAGGAUUCCCCUAGUAACUGCGAGUGAAGCGGGAAAAGCUCAAAUUUAAAAUCUGGCGGUCUCUGGCCGUCCGAGUUGUAAUCUAGAGAAGUGCUGCCCGCGCUGGACCGUGUACAAGUCUCCUGGAAUGGAGCGUCAUAGAGGGUGAGAAUCCCGUCUCUGACACGGACUACCAGGGCUUUGUGGUACGCUCUCAAAGAGUCGAGUUGUUUGGGAAUGCAGCUCAAAAUGGGUGGUAAAUUCCAUCUAAAGCUAAAUAUUGGCGAGAGACCGAUAGCGAACAAGUACCGUGAGGGAAAGAUGAAAAGAACUUUGGAAAGAGAGUUAAACAGUACGUGAAAUUGCUGAAAGGGAAACGCUUGAAGUCAGUCGCGUUGGCCGGGGAUCAGCCUCGCUUUUUUGCGUGGUGUACUUUCUGGUUGACGGGUCAGCAUCAAUUUUGACCGCUGGAAAAAGGCUUGGGGAAUGUGGCAGCUUCGGCUGUGUUAUAGCCCUUUGUCACAUACAGCGGUUGGGAUUGAGGAACUCAGCACGCCGCAAGGCCGGGUUUCGACCACGUUCGUGCUUAGGAUGCUGGCAUAAUGGCUUUAAGCGACCCGUCUGAAUGAAACACGGACCAAGGAGUCUAACAUGCCUGCG